AUUGAACGCUGGGCGGCAUGCCUUACACAUGCAAGUCGAACGGUAACGGCGGGGCAACCUGGCGACGAGUGGCGAACGGGUGAGUAAUACAUCGGAACGUGCCCAGUAGUGGGGGAUAGCCCGGCGAAAGCCGGAUUAAUACCGCAUACGACCUACGGGUGAAAGCGGGGGAUCGCAAGACCUCGCGCUAUUGGAGCGGCCGAUGUCAGAUUAGCUAGUUGGUGGGGUAAAAGCCUACCAAGGCGACGAUCUGUAGCUGGUCUGAGAGGACGACCAGCCACACUGGGACUGAGACACGGCCCAGACUCCUACGGGAGGCAGCAGUGGGGAAUUUUUGGUCAAUGGAGGGAACUCUGAACCAGCCAUCCCGCGUGCAGGAUGAAGGGGCUCUGCCCUGUAAACUGCUUUUUGAAUGGGACGAAAAAGCCUCACUUGUGAGGAACUGACGGUACCAUUAGAAUAAGCACCGGCUAACUCCGUGCCAGCAGCCGCGGUAAU
rnacentral:rRNA from 1 species